rnacentral:rRNA from 1 species
AACGUAGGUGGCGAGCGUUAUCCGGAUUUACUGGGCGUAAAGGGUGUGCAGGCGGGCUGUUAAGUGGUGUAUGAAAUAUCCCGGCUCAACCGGGAGAGGUUAUGCCAGACUGGUGGUCUAGAGAGCGAGAGAGGGACGUGGAAUUCCGGGUGUAGUGGUGAAAUGCGUAGAGAUCCGGAGGAACCCCAGAGGCGAAGGCGGCGUCCUGGCUCGCAUCUGACGCUCAGACACGACAGCAUGGGGAGCGAACGGG